GACGAACCGUGCGAACGUUGUUCGGAAUCACUGGGCAUAAAGGGCGCGUAGGCGGCUUUUCAAGUCAGGGGUGAAAUCCGGCAGCUCAACUGUCGAAGUGCCCUUGAUACUGAUGAGCUCGAGGGAGGUAGGGGUGUGUGGAACUUCCGGUGGAGCGGUGAAAUGCGUUGAUAUCGGAAGGAACGCCGGUGGCGAAAGCGACGCACUGGACCUCUUCUGACGCUGAGGCGCGAAAGCUAGGGGAGCGAACGGG
rnacentral:rRNA from 1 species